rfam:TPA: Bos taurus chromosome 21, whole genome shotgun sequence.
CAAUCUGGUUGCUACAUCUGUCACCCCAUUGAUCACCAGGGUUGAUUCGGCUGAUCUGGCUGGCUAGGCGGGUGUCCCCUUCCUCCCUCACUGCUCCAUGUGCGUUCUUCCCGAAGCUGCACGCUCGGUCGAAGAGGACGACCAUCCCCGAUAGAGGAGGACCAGUCUUCAGUCAAGGGCAUACAAGUAGCUGCACUCCCCUGCUAGAACCUCCAAACAAGCUGUCAACUGGGAAAUUUUUAUUUUUCCUAUCCCACGUUCUUGUUUCUUAUUUCCCUAGGAUUCCAAAUACAUGUAAUCUAAACUCCUUAAUAUUUCUUUCAAAGGUUAUUGAGACUCUAUUA